rnacentral:rRNA from 1 species
UACAGAGGCCUCAAGCGUUGUUCGGAUUCAUUGGGCGUAAAGGGUGCGUAGGUGGCGCGGUAAGUCGGGUGUGAAAUUUCGGAGCUUAACUCCGAAACUGCAUUCGAUACUGCCGUGCUUGAGGACUGGAGAGGAGACUGGAAUUUACGGUGUAGCAGUGAAAUGCGUAGAUAUCGUAAGGAAGACCAGUGGCGAAGGCGGGUCUCUGGACAGUUCCUGACACUGAGGCACGAAGGCCAGGGGAGCAAACGGG